AAAUCAUUGAAUUGCCCUCAUUUUGUGGUAAGUAUUAAUUUUUGAUUAUAAUUGGCAGCUCUCAAUUAUAUAUGCCCUUCCAUUCAAACUCCAGACUUUCUUCUGCCCUGCAGCCUGUUGUGACGGUUACCAAAACAUGAACUUGAACAAAGUUUGGGUUUGUUUCUAACAGUGUUUAUUUUAAACUGGUAACUGCAUGGCACCUCAUUUUUGAAGGGUGAAAAAAGUUAGUCACAGUAUGUAGUUGCAGCUCUGCGUAGGCAUGCACACAGGCAUUUUCAGGUUGUAUGUGGUUGUAGCUGCAGCUGGAGGGUCUUGUGAUUGUGACUGCAGGGUGUGCCCAAUUGUGGUUGUGGAGUUUGCAUGCACAUCCGUGUUUGUGUGCAUGCAUAUGGUUGCAGAGUGUGUGUAAGUGUGCAGUUGUGAGGUGUCUAUGUGACAGUGGAUUGUCCCUGCUUCCAUUCUGCUUUUAAAUAUUCCACACUGAAUGUGCAGUUAAAACUUAGAAAAGUCCCACUUUUCCAUCUCCCUUCCACUCAGUAAGUUUCCUAAGAUCCAGAUUUCAAUAAAACAGAGGUCUAAAACACUGCUUUGUUUAUAAAGAAUUCUCUGCCGCAAACCAGGCUGGCUAUUCUAUGUGCUUGAUUCUUGUUUGAUGGUUGCAUACAGGACUCCAAUAGCUCCCCCUCUAGGCUUUUAUGCACUUCUUUUCUUUAGCCCGAAAAUGUCCAUAGGAUUUUUUUUUAAUCUCCUGAAACAACCAUUAUUGCAGUUGUCACUAUUCAGAAGAAGAAGCUUCCUCAAUAGCAGCAUCUGAACAGGCAGUAGAACUCCAACACACACUAUGUCAUAGUCCCUGUAGACAGAAAAUUGCCAUUUACAAGGUAUCAUUUAUAUAGUACCUGUAAAUCUCUCUCUCUCUCUCUCUCUCUCUCUCUCUCUCUCUCUCUCCAAUUUAAUGAUAGACCUAGUUUUAUGAUAUAUGAAUACUGUGGAUAUAUGGAAAGGAGAACUGGGAUUACACCUGCUGGCCCUGUCUCAACCCCAACAAGUUCAGUUGAAAACCUGAACAGAGCCUUUGCAUUUCUAGAUUAUACGUGUUUAGGCUCUACACAAGCCAUCAGCAUGAACCCAAUUGUUCUUUCCCUACCUGAACCAACAGAAGGAUUGGAAGGUAGAAGAUCCAGUGAGCUAUCAAAUUAAUGGUAACAGCAGUCACAAUGCAGGCAGUGGCUGCAUCAUGCAUACAGUUCACUAUCAAGAAGCAUGAUCUGGAGACCAAGGGUGGUCAGAGACAGGUGCUUCAGUACCCUGGACAGAUCUCAAGGAGUAGACAAUUUGUUCUGACUGAUUCCUACAUCAAACUGAGCCAUGGGCCUCACUGCCCCUUCCGUAGGAGUGCACAGCCUUAAAGACACACUCCUCUUGCCUGGAGCUAAGCAAUCCAUUGUCUCCCUAAUACUUCCCACCAGAUGGGUUGCCUGUUUUGUCAAGUGUAUGCUGCGGAGCAUGAGAGCCUUGGUGGUAAGGAUGCUAGUGCUUCAGAGGACUCAACUUGGGGGUUGCUAUCUCUAAGACGUCAAGGUUUGGUGGAUUGCUGUCUUCUGCAUUCAGCAUCGGGCCCCAGGUCCAGCACCUUCAUAGCCUGAGCUAUUUUCCCUCCCAGUCUACCUCAUAGUCAUGAAUCAUGAUCCUUUAACUAAUUCACAGACCAUGUCAACAGCUAGUAGGAUUGCUUAAGUCAGCAGUUAUUAACUUGGUAAAGUACUGAAGUGGUUGUGUAAGAGUAACAUGUGUUCCCAUACUGGGUAUUAAUUUUUAGACUGGGUACCUUUCAGCUUUUGAACUGGGUCUGACCAGGCUAAUAACUAGCACAAACAAGGAUAUGCCCCACAGCCCAAUGUGGUGUUCAGAAAACUGCCUUGUGAAUAUGUUGGAAGGCAUGCAAAAAUCUAUUUUCAUUAUCAGGACAGGUAUAUAUAAAAUUUAGCAGAGUGAAAAGUACUCAGUUUUUCAUGAACAUUUCGACAACAUCAAAAUGUGCACCCCGCUUUCAAUAGGAAAGGCCGUAUUGGUGUUGCUCUGUAUGUGAAAGAGCGCACUGAAUGAAAUGAGCCAGAAAUCCCAAAAGAGGAAGAUUCCUCCACAGAAUCAUUGUGGGUGGUGCUACCUGGCUCCAGAGGUCAUUUGGUGCUGGAGACAUGCAUUCAUCCCCCUAAUGCAAAUGCUCAGGGAUAUCUUCGAUGGAGAAAGAGAUCAGGGAAGCAUCCAGAAGAGGACAUGUUGCAGUAAUGGUUGACGACUGACUACAUAUGUGUUCAUGUCAUGAUAAAGAGGCAAAAUUUCUAGAUUCCUUAAUGUCUGUCCGUCCGUGCUCUUGAAAAGUUGGUCAUGGAACCAAGCAGAGAUCCCAGACUUAAUUUCAAGGAGCCCCGGGACCUGCUGUCCCUCUACUCUACCACUGAGCUACACAUGGCUGUUCCUCUAGAAACUUGCAUUCUCUUUGAGGAGGAAAAUAAGAUUCACUAAGCUUGGUCCUAUGCUGAUGCUUUAGCUGCAAAGGUCCAUUGCACUACACAUAUGUCAUUCUAUGUUAGGCUGUUAGGCUUGCUUUCACAGUUCAGCCCUACUUGCUUUUCAAAGUCUGAAAAAGAAAGUGCUUUUUUGCCACCACUAAGUAGGUGACGAUGCUCUAAGAGACCCAGAUUGCCAACAAGGUACCUUGUAGAAGAAGCCUAUCUGGUGCACAGGUCUGCCUGAAAUCUGUAAUGAGGCGGUACAUUUUUUGUACAUGCUGUUGUCACCCAAGUACAUCUUUAUUAUUGCAGGUUCUGGUGCUCGAAGCACUGUGGCCAUAUUAAAAAGACCUUUUGUAAAGCAGCCUCGAAUGUCGGCAGGCAAUGGCUAUAUAGCGAACUAAAAUAAUUGCAUAUUUCAAGGAACUCCAUCCACAUCUCCUUCACAGGAAAGCCAGAAAACCAAAAAAAUUACUUGCUCCACUGAAUCACAACGUAUGUUCUCGGUUCCAGAGAAACCAACUUCCUUCCUUCGUCAUGUCUAGUCCUGUGGUUUUUAAAGUCCCAUUCUCUGGCCCUGUUUAUGAAUCCAUCUUAUUCAUAGAUAUUUCCAUUCACCAAGCACACAUUCUCUUCAGUGGCUGGUGUCUGACCAAACCUUGUUGAGUUUUUGAGUAUUUAUUUGUAAAGAGCAGUAACUUAAUAUCCUUUCAGCCCAAACCCUCUGUAGAAUGAAUUGCUUCCUAUUCAAAGUGAUUCCUGACAGGGGGGAGCGGGGAGUGAGUGAGAGGAAAAUAUGCACUGCUGAUUUCAAGGAAACUAAAGUAUACUUUGCCGUUUAAAAAAAAGUUUUCCAUGAAGUUUCUACAUUAUGCUGUGUAGCACCAAGUAUGGUACAAGCAUCUAUGGCUGAAACUCAUGCAUAACAGCUGUCUUGUUUCUGAAAAAUACAGUGCAAAUUUCAGAUUAUGAAUGUGUAAAUAAAUAUUUAUUACUGCUUUGCUAAUUUUGCUUUUCUCUACCAAGAAGCAUCCUUCAAGCAGCUGAAUUUUGCUUCCAUUCUGUCAGUGGAAUAAGAUUAUCCACAUAAGCUGAGUGGGCUCAGCUUGGGAGGUGCAUGACAGGCUGUGUGGCACAAACAGCUCUGCUAUCUAACAGAAGGCAAUGGCCAAGGAUGCUUAGGGUGAAUGGGGGAGGCCUUUCAUUGCUGCCUGAUGUGAUUGCCUCAGUUUGUCUAAUGGUAGGGAUGGUCCCAUUCAGAGACUUCCAAGAAGCCUCACAAGCAGAGCAGGUAUCCAGUAGGCCUUUGAAGCUGGAACUUCCAUUUAGCUUCCCCAUUCCUACUUGAGCUGGUGGAACCUUCUCUGAUUUUUUUUAAAAAUCGUUUUUAUUUGAUUUUACAAAUAUAAAGUUAUAACAAUACUGUGGCGUUUGCCCUCCUAGGUGUGUGACAUCAUACUGGGUUCAUAAGGAAAGGGUUAACUAAUUGUAAUAUGACUAACCCAUGGGAACCCAAGGGGCAGAGUUAACUGUGUAUAAGGUUUAAGCACAGAGGUUUUUUGGGAGGAGUAGAGUUAGGGUGGUUGAGAAGACCGUCUGGAAUUAGAAGAGACAGAGAAGAUAAGUCUGUGGGCUGGGCUAGUCUGAUGUGGGAGAGGGAGAGACUCUGUUAAGAGGAGUCAGUCAAACAGUUGAGAUAAUCAGUCAGAAGGUAUUAGGAAGGUAUAGGCCGGUAAAGAAACUAAAGUUAAGAUACUGACAGGAAUAUUAUCUGAGAUACCAUAAACUUGUUAAUGUUUGUAAAAUAAACUUGGUUUUUUUGUUUUUGUUUUUGGUUCACUUUUAACAACUGUCUGGACUCAGUGUUUUACCAGAGAGUAACGAGUUGGUGGCAGCGGGGAAGCGAGCCGAGUGGUGGCACAGGGAUCAAUAGACCGUUAAACGUCCAGGGACCCUGUGUGAUCACCACAAAUACCAAACACAUAUCCAUGUAAAGAGAUUUCUCUGAAUCGCAAGAGAAUCUCAAGACUUUCCCCCAUCCCCUCCAUGGGUCCUAUUGUCAACAUUUUGAACUGCAUAUUAUUUCAUAAUCUAUUUUUUAUAUCUAUCCUUAUUGCCCAUAGUAUUUGUUACAUUACAAGUGAGAUUAAAAUCCUGCCGACAUUUCCAUCUGCUUACAGUGGUCUCUUAAAUAAAUUAGAAAUUUUUCCCAUUCUUUCUUGAAGUUUUUGUUCUCUUGGUCCCUGAGCUUUCCAGUCAGUUUUGCCAUUUUGGCGUAGUCUAACAGCUUGGUUUGCCAUUCCUCUCUGGUAGGGACUCUUUCUUCUUUCCAUCUCUGGGUUAGCAGCAUCCGUGCUACUGUUAUUGCAUACAUAAAAAGCCCUUUCUGUUCUUUUUGGAAUUUUGGUACUUACAAUUCCAAAUAAAAAGGCUUCAGGUUUUUUAACAAAAGUUAUUUUAAACAUUUUUUUUAGCUCAUUAUAUAUCCUUUCCCAGAAAGCCUUUAUUACCUUACAUGACCACCACAUAUGGUAAAGGUAUAUUCUUUUUCUUUACAUACAUUUCCAGCAGGUAUUUGUACAAGAACCUUCUUAAAUUGUUAUGUUCUCUCCCUGAUUAGGAUUUCACAUCUGGUUUUUUGUUAUGGGGAAAGCCAUUCGCCAAAGUAGUAUUAACUUCCUAGCAAUGUCCUUCACCAAGUUUGCCCAGGCAUAAUGACAAACAAGGAGUUCCAUAUCCAGCAAGCUGGGUGCUGGGUCAUUCCCAAGCAUAUCCCCUGGUGAGGAAAAGGUCCUUCCAUCCUGCCAGAGGCCUCCCACCUUGAGAAGUUCAAUGAAAGUGAAUAGAGAAAAUGUAUUCCCCUCCCUCGUGAUACAGUCCUAGAACCUGGGGCCCUCUAAUGUGGCUAAACACUAGAAGAUUCAGGACAAAACGUUGGCAUUCAGGAAUUUGCUGCCACAAGAAGCAGUGAUGGCCAUCAACCUGGAUGACUGCAAAGGAGAAUUAGACAAAUUCAUAGAGGGUAAGACUAUCAAUGGUUACUAGUCAUGAUGGUUAUGUUCUGUCUCCACUGUCAGAGGCAGUAUCCCUCUGAAAACAGGUUCCUGGGAUAGCAGGGAGAGUGCUAUUGCGCUCAGGCCUGGCUUGUGGGCAUUUCAUAGGCAUCUGGGUGGAGAAUCCUGGACCAUAUGGCCUUUGAUCUAAUCCAACCCGUUUCCCUUUAUGUUCUUAUGAUCAAUUUCAGUGAAACCAGCAAAUAAGAAAAUAAGUAGAGAAACCAUUGCUGCUGCUGCUGCUGCUGCUGCUGCUGCUGCUGCUGCUACUUGUAGAUGUCUAAAUGGACUUCUUUAUUUAAUUAGGUUGGUGGGGCAGUAGAUUUUGUGCCGUUUUGCAUGUGAGAAGUAUUUCAAGCAGCCUUGCUGCCACGUCGGGACUCUUGCAAAAAGCCAUGGUACAUCGUUGUGUCACGUCCUGGAACAUAACAAAACGUCGCCCGGACUGUCGAAGGUGUCAGAAUAGGAUCUUCAAAAUAGGAUCUCCAAAGUAUUAAACAAAUUCCAGAUUUCACCUGUGCCUAAUCUAACCCUCCCUAUAUAGCAGAAAUGUUUUAUUUUUGUAAUUUCCCAGCACCAGAUAUCGAGGCUGAUAAGACUUUAAUUUCCUUGCCCUCUGGCAGCAGCUCACGCUAGACAGUAUCCCUGUUUCCAGUUCACAAUGUUAUUAGUGGGCUUCAUGCUUGCAAGUGUCUCAUUCGAUACUGUCUGCCUGCAGCAUUUCCAAUAUGUGUGUAAAGGGUAAAAGAGAAGAAAAAGAACAGGGGAGAAGAAGGGAACAAGCACACAGACCACGACUGCUACCAAGGCAUCAGCAUGUUUGCUGGGACUUUUAGCUUGUUGUCUUAUGUGUUUUGCAUGGGUAUCUGCAUUACUUUUAGCCACUUGGAGCCAGAGAACAAAUAUUUAUAUACAGUGGUACCUCGGGUUAAGAGCUUAAUUCGUUCUGGAGGUCCGUUCUUAACCUGAAACUGUUCUUAACUUGAGGUUAAGAACCACUUUAGCUAAUGGGGCCUCCCACUGCCGCUGCACCACCAGUGCACGAUUUCUGUUCUCAUCCUGAAGCAAAGUUCUUAACCCGAGGUACUACUUCCAGGUUAGCGGAGUCUGUAACCUGAAGCAUCUGUAGCCUGAAGUGUCUGUAACCCGAGGUACCACUGUACAUUAUCCUUUUUGAGCUUUGAGGUGUUAGUGACCUUGACAGCUAUGAGAUUGUUGACCUGAUUUGGCUAUGUCUGUUUUCUCCCCUUAGUUCUUCAAUGGUUACCUCUCUGGCCUGUAAAACUGUAGAACAAAAUCAGCAGUUCCAAACUGAAACCCAGUUGAUAGGAAAAUACAGUGGAGGCUGUUCCAUUAGAGCAAAAUGGGGCACUGACCUACUGCCUUUGGUCUGCCCUCAGCCAAACUUCUUAUUUACAACCAGAGCAGGGGGUGGCCCUGCCUGCCAGUUUCCUCCUCAGUUUCAGUGUUGCCCCUUGUAGAAGGAGGUGGGGGAAGAGACUAGGAUGAGGUUGGAAUGUCCAUCUGUCAUGGAUGCUUUAGUUUAGAUUCCUGUGUUGCACUAGAUGACCCUCAAGGUUCCUUCCAACUCUACAAUUCUAUGACUCUCCACUUCUUCUAGCGAGCUGCAAACAAGCUGCUUUCAGCCAUACUACCCACCUUGGUGCUCUCAGGCCCCUGUAUAGACACUGGGAAGGGGCAUUCAAGGUGGACCCUGGCUACUUAAAGAAACUCAUAACCCAGCACAAGAGUGGGAAGCCUGUCCCAGGAGCCAAGUGUGCUGCUCCACCUCCCUGCCCAGCCCUCAGGACUCUCUUUAUUCUUUUCCCCUUUCACACCAAUCCUUCUCAAGUGCUUUUGCUGGAAUGGUUGUCCUUGAAUUGUGAUUUGCUUGCCUGGCUGGAGGAUGGUUUCUCUGUAUGCACAGACAACUCUGCUUGUUGCGUUACUGGAGUGUCACUUGCCACAUCCAUUGUUCCACUUACUUUUGCCUUUGGUCUCCACCUACCAUUGACAUAUGGAUGCACCAGAAGGUUCCCCCCAAAACAACACAACGUCACCAUCAGGCUAGGAAAGGGUCCCCACCACUAUUCUAGAUCAUUUGCUUCUUACCGUGCCUUCGGCUUUGCUUGUAUCUGAGGCUGUCAUCUUGGGAAGGAGGGCUCAACCAGGGCUUAGGGAACAACUAAGCAUGGCAGGGCAGUCUCCAACAUAUGGCCCAUUGUGACCAGUCAGCAUUUGUGUGGUGCUACCAAUCCAGCUACCUCUGCCUCCCCCUUACAACUACUUGUGUGAGAGAAGGCUGGUCAACAUGGUGCCCUCCAUAUGUUGUUGAACUACAAUUCCCAUCAUCCCUGACUCAUAGACAUGGUGGCUGGGCUGAGGGAAGUUCGAGUCCAAUUGAACUGGCUAACUCUGAGUAAGAGCAUGGGAUCCCUUCCAUCAAUUACAGUUCUCUACCUUGCUCAUCAAUUGCCAAUAGAAUGAAAAAGCUCAUUUCCUCUCCCCUCACCCCACUGAACAGUUCCAGGUGCAAUAUCUCCUGUCCUCUUAAUUAAGAAUUUCUUGGAGUGAGAUACCAUCUAUUUUUGAUUUUCACGGGAAGGGUGCUGUUGCCCUUCACUUUUGUUUUUAAGGUGCAAACUCUUAGACCAGGCAUAGGCAAACUCCGACCCUCCAGAUGUUUGGGACUACAAUUCCCAGUAUCCCUAGCUAACAGGACCAGUGGUCAGGGAUGGUGGGAAUUGUAGUCCCAAACAUCUGGAGGGCUGGAGUUUGCCUAUGCCUGUCUUAGACAGUGGCCUUUCCUAUCCACCAACUCUGGAUCCCAUCACCUGUCUUGUAGUUUCACGGCUACACUUCUCUGACCCUAUGUCUUCUACCAUGUUCUGAAACCAAAGACUCUUGGUAUAUGGCUUGGGUAGAACCACAGUUUUUACUAAAUUAUUCCUUUGAAUGGCCAUCAAUGUCUAAACAUGCCAUGAAUGCAAUGCUAUUAACUGCUUUACAUUAGAUGCUUCAUCCUAAUGCUUCCAGCUGAUGUCUUUUUCUUGUUUUUAACUCUGACUGGCCCUCAUGUGAACCACAUCCACAUUUAUCUGAUAGGUAAUGAAUAGAAAUUAGGCUGCCAGAAUAAAUUUCAGCCUCCAUGCCCUGCUGCCACCACCACCAAUUUCCCUUCUCUUGCCAUUUGUAGCCAUAAUACUCAAGUCAGCCAGCAACAUAAAAUGGAAAGGGGGGUUCUGUUACAGUUUCAGUUACAAUGUACAGGAUGACCUGGCUGCCAACUAAUAAAAUAUGCCCACGACUUUAAUGUGAUUAGUAAUAGCUCAGACUUUCAAUGGUAUUUUUACAAGGGCCUGAAAUGAAAACAUUAAAACCAGGAUGCCGACCUCUUUAUAUUUGGUAGUAAUCUGGGACCUUAGACUUCCCCAAUUAACCUCAAUAUUCUGGCAAAGAGAGAGAGUGGCAGUUGUCUCCAAGAGAGAAUGUCUGGCUUCAAAAUAUUGUUCCGUCUCAGGAAACUUUCACAAUUCAACAAUUCUGACCGUGGCAAUUUCCUUGCACAAUUUGGGACAUAAUAAAAGGAGUCAAUAAAUAGCAAUGAGAAUCAUCGUACCAGUUAAGCAGGGUAAAAUUAACUCCCCCCCCCCCCGCACUUCUAAUCCCUCGAAGCUCAUAAACUAUUGUGUAGGGUCUGGAGGGGAUUGACUUGUCAAUGUAUAUAAUGCUGGAUUUCCACGGUCACCCUUGUCACUUACCAGAUGAGCCAAUCCAGCAAACAAAUUCUAUUUGUCAAUCAUACAAUAAGGUGGCUCGACAGCAGCUCUUUCUGGAUGCUUCAUUGAAAUCCCUGGCAGGAGUCACAGACUCUGAUUUAUUAUUUAUUUAUUUAUUUAUUUAUUUAUAAGUAAGACCCUGGUCCUCCAAGAAAGAAAGUUAUGCAGCAAAUUGUGCAGGCACCCUUCAAUUUAUGUGAGAUUAGCUAGGCACGCGGGUGGCGCUGUGGGUUAAACCACAGGACUUGCCGAUCAGAAGGUCGCGGUUCAAAACCCCGCGACGGGGUGAGCUCCCAUUGCUUGGUCCCUGCUCCUGCCAACCUAGCAGUUCGAAAGCACAUCAAAGUGCAAGUAGAUAAAUAGGUACCGCUCCGGCGGGAAGGUAAACGGCAUUUCCAUGUGCUGCUCUGGUUUGCCAGAAGUGGCUUAGUCAUGCUGGCCACAUGACCCAGAAGCUGUACGCCGGCUCCCUCAGCCAAUAAAGCGAGAUGAGCGCCGCAACCCCAGGGUCGUCCGCAACAGGACCUAAUGGUCAGGGGUCUCUUUACCUUUACCUAGCUAGAACCGCAGCUCUCCCUUAUCAGUGUGAAUAUGUGACGUUAGAUCUGUGACUGGUAAGUGAGUUGUUUGCAUACCCAGCAAUAGCAAUCCCUAAGAUCCUAAAGGACUUUCCCUUUAGUGCACUCUUCCUGCCUGUGUCUUAUUUUCUAGUAGUCCUUGAAAUCUCCAUAGUUUGCCCUUCUUCUUUUCCUAGCAACCGGGAUGCAUCUUUCCUGCGUGCAAAGCAGAUCCUCUGCCACUGAGCUAUGACCCUUCUUUCUAGUUCUGUUCCUUCAUUGUUGCUUCUAAUAGUAGCUUCUCUUCACUAUGGCUACUAAAGAAACAAAGAGGCCUCUCUUUUAUGUGUCCCCCCAACACACUUAUACACAAACAUAUUGCAAGGAAAACAGGAACUAACCUUAAUCAGUCAGCAAAUCACUACUAUCAUACAGGUGUGCCAACUUGAAUAAAAUACAGUGGUACCUCGGGUUAAGAACUUAAUUUGUUCCGGAGGUCCGUUCUUAACCUGAAACUGUUCUUAACCUGAGGUACCACUUUAGCUAAUGGGGCCUCCCGCUGCCGCCGCAUGAUUUCUGUUCUCAUCAUGAAGCAAAGUUCUUAACCCGAGGUACUAUUUCUGGAUUAGCAGAGUCUGUAACCUGAAGCGUCUGUAACCUGAAGCAUCUGUAACCCGAGGUACCACUGUAUUGUGGGGGCCCAGGUAAGCCUCACCCCUCAUAACUGAUCACAUGAUGCAGUGCGCACACACCAUUUGAAUGCCCAUCAACUUUGAGGGGGCCCUGCCUCCUCAAAUAUUUUAUUGUGGGGGCCGAAUCCCCCAUGGCCCCUACGUGUUGGCUCCUAUGCUAUCUUAUGAAAGGUCUGAGAGCACUUUGUUUUGCUAGCCAACCUGAUUCUGCACCUAGUUGAAACAACCUCCCCUUUGUAACACAUCCUACCUCAGCAAAGUCCUUGUGUAGCGCCUGAACCUGCAGUUUCAUUUAGACAUCCCCAUCUGACCUAAUUCUCCAGCCUAUUGAGGGCGACAACACCGAACUCAAAGUCUGAAAGGAAAUGAGAUUUCUUUAUUUUUAAAAUGCUCGGUCAUAAAGAAGAAUGGCACAAGAGGCUGCUUGAAGAGAAGAUGGUUGGUCUCUUUCCAGCCCUACUAUUCAAAGGAUGUAACGGAAAGCCUGCCAAAGCCAAGAGAAAGGUAUGGGCUGAUUGCACGACAUGUUAUCAUUGUACAUAUUGCAUUUAUGUAAUACUGUUUGGGGUCCUGCCUGAAAUGCCUGUGAUAUGACAGAAUGGAAAAGAGAGAGUCAUAUUCCCAAUGCAGAUGCUCAGAGAAUAACAGCAGUUGGGGGGGGUUGAUAUAAUAACACAACAAAGGCUUUAUACAUGCUUCUAAAAAAAGAAGUGUUACGUUUUCAAUUAAGGCCUGGUUAAUUUGAAUAAAGUGAAGAAAUCACAUCUGGGCUCUUGGUGCGAUGGAGCGCAUUAGCACAACAUGCGCAGGGUUAGGUCAGGGAUUCACUUGUCAGUUUCAUUUUAGCUCACGCUGACGGCCAGCACAAAUUGCAGCCUUGCUGAUUUCUAUUUGCCAACCCCCUUGAAACCUUUCUGCAAUCAAUGUCAAAGGAUCAUAAAAUAAGAUUAAUGACAAGAGGAGAUAACUACAUUAAUUUCCCAAUGCACUUUCAUUGCAAUGCUGGUAAUCAAGUUUUCAAAGCAUUUUAUUUUAAGAAGAAGAAGAGGAGGAGGAGGAGGAGUUUGGAUUUGAUAUCCCGCUUUAUCACUACCUGAAGGAGUCUCAAAGCGGCUAACAUUCUCCUUUCCCUUCCUCCCCCACAACAAACACUCUGUGAGGUGAGUGGGGCUGAGAGACUUCAGAUAAGUGUGACUGGCCCAAGGUCACCCAGCAGCUGCAUGUGGAGGAGCGGAGACGCAAACCCAGUUCCCCAGAUUACGAGUCUAUUGCUCUUAACCACUACACCAUAAAAGCAUAUUCAAAGAGUAAAACAACAAAAGCAUCCCACAUCACCAACAUGACAUCUUUGUCCACACAAGGUACAAUGAGCAAUCUGGACCAUGUUUUGCUGAGUGGUUUCAUUAAAAAUGCAGUUCCUGGAGGUCACGGAAAUAACGCCUUCCAUCUCUAUUGCAAUCUUUAUCUUAGAAUCUGUACAAAAUCGGUACAAUCCGUACCAUAGAAGAAGAUAUGGAGCUGACCACCGAUUUAGAAGAUAAGGCUACCAGUCAUGAUGGCUAGUGGCAGCCUCAGAGGGAGCAUAGCUUUGAAUACCAGUAAUUUGGGAAGGCCAGUGGGAGAGGACUAUGGUGCCAAAGCUCUGUUUGUGAGCUUCCCAGAGGCAUCUGGUACACCGUUGAGGGAUGUAGGUUGCUGAAUUAGAUGGGCUUUCAGUCUGAUCAAGCAGAGUUCUCAUAUUCUCACCUCAGGGGAAGAGCUUUGCAUGCAGAGCUGGUUUGCAAGCAGAAAUCCUGGAGAGCAUCUCCCUGAUGCGGACAGCAUUGAGUCAGAUGGACCAAUGGCCUGACUCACUAUCAGGCAGCUUCCUAUGUACGUACAUCACUUCAUACUUCAUCGGUUGAUAUUUUAUUUGAUGACUCACAGAUCAGCAUGUGAACUACCUCCGUGAAGAAGCGUUAGAUUUGAUGUGACAACAGGUAACAGGAAAGCGGGUGCUUGGACCAAGGCAG